GGACCGCCGCCGCCGCCGUCACCGCCGACGCCGCCGCCAACGCAAGGGGCCGUCGCCGAAAAUUAGUUAUUUCGUGCGAGUGGAGCAAAUUUGAGGGUCCUUGCGUCCUAGACUUUGUGCCUUCCCUUGGCGGUCACCAGGACCAACGGAAUCCGAGGACGACGUGAGACGGAGGAGCAUCGACCGCUAGUUCAUCGCUCAUCGCUCUCGCUCAGGUGAAUCGCUCUCGCUUUAUUUGACGUUAUAAAAUUCUCGAUUAUUCCGAUUGCUCUGAGUUCCUGAAUAUUCUAUCGUACAGAUUACUCGCUAAUACAGCUACCGAAAUCAUACUCGAUACUGUUAGCUGUGUUUACAUUCCAGGUGACAUUUGGCGAAUCCAGCGGCGAGGAGCAAAGAGGCAUGCCACAGCUGAGCCGCGAGAACAAUACCGGCCAAAGGAUCCCGGUCAUAAGAAAUGAUUGGCGAAACCGAAGAACCAGUGACGCAGAGAAGAGCGACGAAGGGGGAUCUCACAGGAUUCGAGAUCCCUAAGGAGCGACAGAUCCCUUGCCGGGACCGUCGCAACGGACGAGCGAUUGUAAAACAGCCGCGAUUACAGUGCGAAAGCGCGAGUGAGAGAUAGAGAUAGAGAUAGAGAUAGAGAUAGAGAUAGAGAUAGAGA